UACGGAGGGUGCGAGCGUUGUCCGGAAUCACUGGGCGUAAAGGGCGCGUAGGUGGCGCGACAAGUCAACGGUGAAAGCUCGGCGCUCAACGCCGAGUCGGCCGUCGAUACUGUUGGGCUUGAGCACUGUAGAGGCUAAUGGAAUUCCGGGUGUAGCGGUGGAAUGCGUAGAGAUCCGGAAGAACACCGGUGGCGAAGGCGGCCACCUGGGCUAAGACUGACGCUGAGGUGCGAAAGCGUGGGGAGCGAACGGG
rnacentral:rRNA from 1 species